rnacentral:rRNA from 1 species
GGAAUAUUGCACAAUGGGCGAAAGCCUGAUGCAGUGACGCCGCGUGAGUGAAGAAGUAUUUCGGUAUGUAAAGCCCUAUCAGCAGGGAAGAAAAUGAUGGUACCUGACUAGGAAGCCCCGGCUAACUACGUGCCAGCAGCCGCGGUAAUACGUAGGGGGCAAGCGUUAUCCGGAUUUACUGGGUGUAAAGGGAGCGUAGACAGCGAAGCAAGUCUGAAGUGAAAACCCAGGGCUCAACCCUGGGACUGCGUUGGAAACAGUUUUGCUAGAGUGUCGGAGAGGUAAGUGGAAUUCCUAGUGUAGCGGUGAAAUGCGUAGAUAUUAGGAGGAACACCAGUGGCGAAGGCGGCUUACUGGACGAUAACUGACGUUGAGGCUCGAAAGCGUGGGGAGCAAACA